rnacentral:rRNA from 1 species
UACGUAGGGUGCAAGCGUUGUCCGGAAUUAUUGGGCGUAAAGGGCUCGUAGGCGGUUUGUCGCGUCGGGAGUGAAAUCCACUGGCUUAACUGGUGGCUUGCUUUCGAUACGGGCAGACUGGAGUGAUGUAGGGGAGACUGGAAUUCCUGGUGUAGCGGUGAAAUGCGCAGAUAUCAGGAGGAACACCGAUGGCGAAGGCAGGUCUCUGGGCAUUAACUGACGCUGAGGAGCGAAAGCAUGGGGAGCGAACAGG